UAAGUGAAGAGUUUGAUCCUGGCUCAGAGUGAACGCUGGCGGUAGGCCUAACACAUGCAAGUCGAACGGCAGCACAGGAGAGCUUGCUCUCUGGGUGGCGAGUGGCGGACGGGUGAGGAAUACAUCGGAAUCUACUCUGUCGUGGGGGAUAACGUAGGGAAACUUACGCUAAUACCGCAUACGACCUACGGGUGAAAGCAGGGGAUCUUCGGACCUUGCGCGAUUGAAUGAGCCGAUGUCGGAUUAGCUAGUUGGCGGGGUAAAGGCCCACCAAGGCGACGAUCCGUAGCUGGUCUGAGAGGAUGAUCAGCCACACUGGAACUGAGACACGGUCCAGACUCCUACGGGAGGCAGCAGUGGGGAAUAUUGGACAAUGGGCGCAAGCCUGAUCCAGCCAUACCGCGUGGGUGAAGAAGGCCUUCGGGUUGUAAAGCCCUUUUGUUGGGAAAGAAAUCCAGCCGGCUAAUACCUGGUUGGGAUGACGGUACCCAAAGAAUAAGCACCGGCUAACUUCGUGCCAGCAGCCGCGGUAAUACGAAGGGUGCAAGCGUUACUCGGAAUUACUGGGCGUAAAGCGUGCGUAGGUGGUCGUUUAAGU
rnacentral:rRNA from 1 species